rnacentral:rRNA from 1 species
UACGUAGGGUGCGAGCGUUGUCCGGAAUUAUUGGGCGUAAAGAGCUCGUAGGCGGUUUGUCACGUCUGCUGUGAAAUCCCGAGGCUCAACCUCGGGCCUGCAGUGGGUACGGGCAGACUGGAGUGCGGUAGGGGAGAAUGGAAUUCCUGGUGUAGCGGUGAAAUGCGCAGAUAUCUGGAGGAAUACCGGUGGCGAAGGCGGCAUCCUGGACCGACAUUGACGCUGAGGAGCGAAAGCUAGGGGAGCAAACGGG